UUAUUUUUAGAGUGUUUCUAUGUUG
rnacentral:piRNA from 1 species